rnacentral:rRNA from 1 species
AUUGAACGCUGGCGGCAGGCCUAACACAUGCAAGUCGAGCGGUAGAGAGAAGCUUGCUUCUCUUGAGAGCGGCGGACGGGUGAGUAAUGCCUAGGAAUCUGCCUGGUAGUGGGGGAUAACGUUCGGAAACGGACGCUAAUACCGCAUACGUCCUACGGGAGAAAGCAGGGGACCUUCGGGCCUUGCGCUAUCAGAUGAGCCUAGGUCGGAUUAGCUAGUUGGUGAGGUAAUGGCUCACCAAGGCGACGAUCCGUAACUGGUCUGAGAGGAUGAUCAGUCACACUGGAACUGAGACACGGGCCAGACUCCUACGGGAGGCAGCAGUGGGGAAUAUUAGACAAUGGGCGAAAGCCUGAUCCAGCCAUGCCGCGUGUGUGAAGAAGGUCUUCGGAUUGUAAAGCACUUUAAGUUGGGAGGAAGGGUUGUAGAUUAAUACUCUGCAAUUUUGACGUUACCGACAGAAUAAGCACCGGCUAACUCUGUGCCAGCAGCCGCCGCGG